ensembl:lncRNA
GGAAACACCACUGCACAAAAUGCUUUUCCUCCCAGCUGCUGCUCUGUGCUGUCUGUGUUCAGCACUGGUUACCAUGGCAGCACAGCUGUUUCAGGAUGAUUCGGAACUGAUCAAGAGAGUAGGAGAAAGUGUCUCCAUCGGCUGUGAUGGGACUGAACAGUGUGCUAACAGCUAUGUAUACUGGUACCAGAAGAAAGAGAGAGAGACAUUCAAAUACAUACGUUAUACCAGUGUUUUGACACUAGAGAACAUCAGACCUGCUGAUUCAGCUACCUACUACUGCUCCUUCUGUCUCACUGUGGGAGGAAGAUACUACUACAUCUUUGGCUCUGGAACUAAACUGUCUGUAACAGAUGGAAACCAGAAAAGAACGACAAAGGCACCGAGAGUUCAUGCAAACACACAGCAGAGCCCCACCCGACCAGCAGGACCCAGAGUCCACCUGGAGGGGAACAGCUCCCUGCUGUGUGUGCCCCCAGCCAUGUUUCCUCCUCUGGUCCAGCUGUCUUGUAAAAGACAGAAGAAGAACGGUGGAGAAGCGGAGGAGCUGCCCCCUGCUGAUGGAGAGCAGCUGGGACUGAUCCAUCAGAACAGCACAUAUAAAUGUAACUGCUACGUGAAGCACGAGGGGGGCACAGUGGAGGCCCAAACACAACAAGAGGUUCCAGCUCCAGCAGCCUCCUGUCCUCCAGAGAGAGAGCCAGCAGACCUGCCAGCUCUGCAGCCAGCUGACUGUAAGAUCACCUGCUGCCUCUCUGCAUGGACAGCUCCAAUGUCCAAUGAGGGAGCUGGAACAAGUUUAGGGACUCAGUCUUAAAGUGUCACUAAUUGAUCAAAUCUUCAUCCAACAAGCUCUGAUAAAGCCACUGUACACUAGCUGCUCAGCACCAAACAGCAGACAGACCAUAAUAUGUCAGAGAUCAGUUUGUUAGCUGCUUGUGGAGUUCUUCUGCCCC